GAUAAUGAUAUGAAUGAUGAUAAUGAUAUGAAUGAUAUGAAUGAUAUGUUUAUUCGUGCCACUUGCAGGGUCCUGAAUUACAGGCACGGUCAGCACGACGUGCGACAAUACAAAUUAUAACUCACAUGCAUAUUUACUAGUUACCAUGCUCUCGAAUGUAUUAUACUUAAAAUACUAUAGAUGCCACAGGCGAGCUAAUCCGGCAAUGGGUGGUCAACGGCAAGAGUGCACCCGCCUAUUAGUAGCAGCAGUUGCGACCGGAAGUAGAAAUGUUACCAGCAGAAGCGCAUUUGCAACAGACAGAAUUCCAGGAAUUAGGGUUGUUAAUAUCGUAAGUGUCAGUAAAAGCUGCAGAGUAGUGCCGCAUUAAACAGGAUUUAAACUGAAAUAAAGAAGAAGCAGUGCGUGUAGAUUCAGAAAGUUUAUUCCAAAGUUUUGGGAUGCGAUUAAAGUAGCUAGCCUGAAAAAGUUUGGUGCGGCAUUUAGGGAUAGACAAAUCAUAAGUAGAGCUGUGGCGAGUGAGUCUAGUUGUUUUAGGCUUAACAUAAGAACUAAUAGGAAUACUGUAAUGACCGAUACGACAUUAUAAAAAAAAGAAAGAUCCUUAAUUCCAUGCCAAUAAGACAACGGUAAGAGUUCUAGUUUACGUAAACGUUCGUGAUAAGUUAUUUCAUCAUGCCAUUUAGUCCCUAAAAUAAAUCGAGUUGCACUUCGUUGGAGCCGUUCAACUUUUCCAAUGCUACCUAUUGUUUUUGGGGACCAUAGCUCGCUAGCAUAACCCACAUGGGGGCGCACAAAUGUCGGAUAGAGAGUCCGUUUGUGCUCUACACUAAAGGUAUUGAGACACUGGCGGCGCAGAAAUCCAAGGGUUCUGAAUCCCUUAGCUGUUACAGUGUCUAUAUGGGUGUCCCAUUUCAGAUUGCUUGUGACCGUAACGCCAAGAUCUUUGACCUGACUGACAUGUUUCAAAGCCUUGUUGUUCAGUUCGUAGUCUAUUGGAUCACGUUUGCGUGAAACGGUAAGGACCUCGCAUUUAUCGGUGUUGAACUUAAGACGCCAAUCCUGACUCCAACUAUGAACUAUAUUUAAAUCUUCCUGUAGAGAGGCGCAUGAUUAGACAUUGGUGAUGGUGUUUGAGCACUUUGAAUCGUCCGCAAACAGAGUCACGGAGUUUUCGAUGACCGCCGGUAGAUCGUUGAUAUACGCCAGAAAGAGAAGAGGGCCAAGUAUGCUGUGGGACCCCUGAUGGUACUGGAGAGCGGCUAGAAGUGAACCCUUGGACAAGGCAGCGCUGACCACGAUCAAGCAGAUAGCUAUGGAACCAUUGGAGUAGAUUGCCGGAAAUACCGUAACGUGAAAGCUUCCACAGAAGUCUCUGAUGAGAUACACUGUCGAAGGCUUUCGCCAAGUCUAAGAAUACUAUGUUCUAUUGUGGACCACGAUCAAGUGCCUGACCUAUUUAGUGAUAGAAGGAUAACAAUUGCGUAACAGUGGAUAGCCCCUGCAAGAAGCCGUGUUGAGAAUCAUCCAAGAUUGUACACAGAGACCCUGCCUGAGGCCAGGGACAAAUUAAAGAGCUUGCAGAUAGAUGGAGCGAGCUCUUGCGCACAGUUUUUUAAAACGACUGUUGGCACGCCAUCAGGUCCGGGAGCUUUGUUGGAAUCUAAGCCAGAGAGAACCUCAAAUACCUCAUUAACCGAGAAGGUCAGGGUUUCCAAGGUUAGUGCGUUCGGGUCAGAUGAAGCUGGAGUGAGGUUCUCAGCAGAGUCGUGGGUGAAAGUUGAAUAAAAAACUUAUUGAACACCUCUGCUUUACCCGCAGCAUCAGAGUGCAGCGUGUUAAGGUAGGACACUGAUGCCGGGAUAGAAUCUGAUUUCGUCUUGUGGCAAAAAAAGCUCCAAAAACGCUUAGGAUUAUCCUUAAGCGAGUCCCCUAGUGAUACGCGGUACUCUUUUUCUUUACUAUUUUUGAGCCGUUUGCAUUCCUUUCUGAGAGCUUUAAAUUUAUCAAGGUAAUGAGUACUAUUAUGUUUCUUUGCAGCACGCCUUGCGGUAUCUUUUUUCUUAAGCAAAUAUAGAACUUCUUUGUCUAUCCAUGGAGGCGUGUUGGAAUCUUUUAUUUUCACCUUGGGGACAGUUGGGUCUAAAAUUGCUAGCAGCGUAUGUUUUCAUUUGCCCUAGAGAACAUCAACAUCCCCGUCACUCCCAGAUAUGCCAAUCGGAAAAUUUAAUUUUUCCACAAUUUGCUCCUUAAUUGAAUUAGCGCACAGGCUUCUGGAUUCGCCUAGGCCUGGCAAUCAGGUCGAUUAUGAUCAGUACUAAGAUCUGCAUCAAUGGGUGAUCUUGCCUCAAUAUUAGCAAUACGAUCGGGCACGUUGGUGAUAAUCCAAGAUAGUCCAAGAUAUUAUUUAAGCGCGUCGAGAAAGUGUUGAGCUGGAGCAGCGAAAUCAGCAGAGUUGGGACGAUUAGAAAACCCACAUCCUUCAGCCUAUUUCACGCUCGGAUAGUUGAAAUCACCCAAAACGAUCAGUUGACUCUUUUUGGAUCCGCGCAGCGCGUGAUAAAUGAGAGAUAAGUUGUGUUACUGACUCAAAUUCAUAACUUGGGGUGCUGUCUGGUGGUCUAUAAAUAGAGCUAAUCAGGAUUUUUGAAGAACCUGCUAGAUUAAGUUCGAUAGUAACUAUCUCGAGCUCCGCCUCUAAGUCAGAUCUACGACGACAGUCAUAGCAGCUUUUGAUAGCCACAAGAGAUCCACCGCCAAUUCGUCCGCCACGAUCGCAAUAGUGCAUAGCCCCUGCUAAGGACCUCGGAAUCAAAUAUAUUUUCUUUGAGCCAGGUUUCAGUAACUUUAAUCGUUUCACCCCCAAUUCAUUUUCCAUACGUGUUGAGAAAUGCAAACAACCAUGCCCCGGGCAUUGUGGGUUAGGCCCACAGGGAACCCGCGCGGCUUACAACUCUAAACAGUAUAAUUGUCAGUAUAACCGUUGUCGCCGGACCGACCAUGGUCGACCAAUUUAAUAUGAGGGUCGUGGUCGACCAAUUUAAUAGGAGGGUCGUGGUCGACCAAUUUAAUAGGAGGGUAGUGGUCGACCAAUUUAAUAUGAGGGUUGGGUCGACCAAUUUAAUAUAUGGGUCGUAGUCGACCAAUUAAAUACGAGGGUCGUGGUCGACCAAUUCAAAAUGAGGAUCGUGGUCGACCAAUUUAGUAUGAGGGUCGUGGUCGACAAAUUUAAUAUGAGGGUCGUGUUGGACCAAUUUAAUAUGUUGGUCGUGGUCGACCAAUUUUAUGAGGGUCGUGGUCGUUCAAUUUAAUAUGAGGGUCGUGGUCGACCAAUUUAAUAUGAGGGUCGUGGUCGACCAAUUUAAUAUGAGGGUCGUGGGCGACCAAUUCAAUUGUUUGAAGGCUAUUGGUGGAUACAUAAAUCAUGUGAUAAAUCAAAAAAUAAAAUUGCCGACGGGGGCGUGGCCAAUGAGAUUGUGCUAAAAGACAUUCUAGAAAUAUGACGCAUGAUAACAUAUUUAUUGCAUUCUCUUCUGUGUGUAUGUUUAAGAACCUCAACAAAGAAUUCCAAAAUCUCCUUGUAGUCUCAUCAAACGAGUUGUUCCACCUGAAACCCGACAAACGGGACAAGUUUGUCGAAUUGGUCAAGUCUGUGUUAGCAAGCCGCUCGGUUCAGAUGAAGACCCUGCAACGGCUGGCCGGAAAAUGCGUGUCAUUUACGCGGGUAGUCCCAGGGGCAAAGUUAUUUAAGAGGGAGAUGAAUACCGCAAUUUCGACAGGUCUACACAAGAUGAAACCGAUAUUUGUGAAAGAUGCUCUCAGGGAAGAAAUUAGCCAUUGGUUGUUCUUAUAGAAGUGGGACCAACCCCUAGGAUGUCGCGAAGAGAGGCGGUGAAACCGGCGUCAGAUACUUCGCAAUCGGAAUGGCGUGGUGUUAUCCUAGCACCCACGACGCAGGAGGUGUCAGAUUACUGGACAGAAGAGGAGGAAGGCCUGGACAUCUCCACAAAGGAGGCCUUGGCUUGGUCACGUGCUACGUUCUUUUCGCGUAUUAGUAACCAAUGAUACGAGUGCAUACUCAGUAUUGGGGCUUACAGAACAACACAAAGACAAACAAGUAAAGUUGAAAAUAAUGCCGUGAACAGGAUUCGAACCUGGGUUAUUGGGGCCACAAAGCAAUGUACUAACCACUAUACUAUCACUUCGAGAUUGAAAAGAAAAAAUGACAAAUAAAUGAAAGCUUCCGGUGGAGUUCUAAGCUUUUUGCUUAUGCUCUUAAACAAGAUACGAGUGCAUACUCAGUAUUGGGGCUGAAAGAACAACACAAAGACAAACAAGUAGAGUUGAAUAAAAAAAUGACAUGACUAGGAUUCGAACCUUGGUUAUCGCGGCCACAAAGCAAUGCACUAACAACUAUAGGAUCACGGCGAGAUGGAUUUGAGA